rnacentral:rRNA from 1 species
AAAUUGAAGAGUUUGAUCAUGGCUCAGAUUGAACGCUGGCGGCAGGCCUACUUUACAUGCAGAGUCGAACGGUAACAGGGAAGAAGCUUUGCUAACUUUGCUGACGAGUGGCGGACGGGUGAGUAAUGUCUGGGAAACUGCCUGAUGGAGGAUAACUACUGGAAACUUGGUAGCUAAUACCGCAUAACGCGUCGCAAGACCAAAGAGGGGGACCUUCGGGCCUCUUGCCAUCGGAUGUGCCCAGAUGGGAUUAGCUUGUUGGUGGGGUAACGGCUCACCUAGGCGACGAUCCCUAGCUGGUCUGAGAGGAUGACCAGCCACACUGGAACUGAGACACGGUCCAGACUCCUACGGGAGGCAGCAGUGGGGAAUAUUGCACAAUGGGCGCAAGCCUGAUGCAGCCAUGCCGCGUGUAUGAAGAAGGCCUUCGGGUUGUAAAGUACUUUCAGCGGGGGAGGAGGGGUAAAGUUAGCCACCUUUGCUCAUUGACGUUACCCACCAGAAGAAGCUAUAAGCUAACUCCGUGCCAGCAGCCGCGAGUAUGCGGGAUUUACCGGCGUUAAUCCGGAAUUACUGGGCGUAAAAGCGCACGCAGGCGGUUUUGUUAAGUCGGAUGUGAAAUCCGGGCUCAACUUUGGGAACUUGCAUCUGAUACUGGCAAGCUUGAGUCUCGUAGAGGGGGGUAGAAUUCAGUUGUAGCGGGGUGAAAUGCGUGUGAGAUCUGGAGGGCUCUGGGGUGGCGAAGGCGGCCCCCGGACGGAAGACGACGCUUUCAGGUGCGAAAGCGUGGGGAGCAAACAGGAUUAGAAUACCACCGGUAGUCCACGCCGUAAACGAUGUCGACUUGGAGGUUGUGCCCUUGAGGCGUGGCUUCCGGAGCUAACGCGUUAAGUCGACCACACGGGGAGUACGGCCGCAAGGUUGAAACUCAAAUAUGAUUGACGGGGGCCCGCACAGGCUUGGUGGAGCAUGUGGUUUAAUUCGAUGCAACGCGAAGAACCUUACACAGUGUGACAUCCCACAGAACUUUCCAGAGGGUAGUUGGUGCCUUCGGGAACUGUGAGACAGGUACUGCAUGGCUGUCGUCAGCUCGUGUUGUGAAAUGUUGGGUUGGGAGUCCCGCAACGAGCGCAACCCUUAUCCUUUGUUGCCAGCGGUCCGGCCGGGAACUCAAAGGAGACUGCCAGUGAUAAACUGGAGGAAGGUGGGGAUGACGUCAAGUCAUCAUGGCCCUUACGACCAGGGCUACACACGUGCUACAAUGGCGCAUACAAAGAGAAGCGACCUCGCGAGAGCAAGCGGACCUCAUAAAGUGCGUCGUAGUCCGGAUUGGAGUCUGGCAACUCGACUCCAUGAAGUCUGGAAAUGCUGGUAAUCGUGGAUCCAGAAUACCGCCACGGCCAGGCCGUUCCCGGGCCUUGUACACACCGCCCGUCACACCAUGGGAGUGGGUUGCAAAAGUAGGUAGCUUAACCUUCGGGGGCGCACGGACUUCGCUGACUGGGGUGAAGUCAGCCAGCAGGCAGCCAUGGGGAACCUGCGGUUGGAUCACCUCACCUUAAA